AAAAAAAAAAAUUUUUUUUUUUUUUUUUUAAAGGGGGAAAUCAUUUAAUCACUCUGUAAUGAUCAGGGUGGUGUGAUGGUCUGAAGGGAGGUCUCUGGUUUCUCUCUCCAAAAGGACUUUGACUUCUCUGGGGCAUUCAAGCCCCAGCUUGCCUUACUUUAACAGCCAGACACCCAGUCCCAGUUCUCCUUGGCUUAUGGUGUCAAUUACCACCCUCCUAGAUUUUUUUGUAUUUUUUUUAACCAGCUGCUUGCAGCUUAACAAUCUACCCAAGUAUCAUCAAAAAAUUCUCCUUGACUCCCUUUUCUCUGUGUCCUGUGUACCAUAGCUUUUACCAUUUUACCAUCGAAACAUUUCCCAAAAAGUAAUCGUGGAAUGCUAGUUGCAAACAUAAUUCAUAGGAAAUACUGGCUAUUUCUCUAGUCAAAUAAGUUUACCCUCUUUCUAUUGGAGUUUCAAAAUCAAUUUCAAAUAAGACACUUUGGAAAAUAAUACUUUAAACCAAUCCCUCUAAUUCUCCAGUACCAAGGCACCGAAGUCAGUAUAGUUUGUGUGUGGUGUGAACAUACUUUAAAAUAUUAAAUUAUAUUUCUCACUAGAGCUUCCUCUAUGUCUCCUUAAAAAAAAAAAAAAACCCUUGUGUAAGUUUACUUACAAGGGUUUAUGUUUUCAGAAAGCAACCUCUUCAUCAAAAGAGAUAUUAAUAUUUUACUUAAUUAUUAUUUGAGCUCAAUACUGAGUAGACCCCAUACCAAGUGGGUUUUGUUCAAUUGUUUUUCUAUAAUUGAACCAAAAACAUAAUUCUUAAAAUUAAUGACCGAAAAACACUUUUUAAAGUGAGACGAUUGUUCUUCUAGUAUGUUGAAAAUGAUAAUAAACUCUUCCAAGGUGAGCUACUGCAGUUGUCAUUUCCUAGGCCUUCUUCCAGAGUUAUUUACCUGACAUUGGCUCUUCAUAUAAUUGUACCAAUAAAUAUGGGUACAUAAAGUCAAUAUUUUACAAGUACUUUUAAGUAUAGAUUAUAACAUAAUUGCUAAAUCAGGUCUUUCCAAGAAUGCCAUAGUUUUACAGAGUUUAAAUCAUACUGUAUAUAUAGUCUUGUCUGCCAUGGCCUCUCCUUUAGGUUAUUCAAUUAACAAACAAAUGGAGUGUUGCUAGAAGAAAGGGAACAAAGAUCGUCUUCUUGUUUAAUGUAAAUAUUGGGUGCUGGAUAGCCUGUGAUUUAUUUGAAGUGAGAAAAUGGGCCUUGUUUUUUCAGACACUGUCACCAGUGACACAUAGGCCAAACAUAAAGGAGACUGUGUUGGCUUAGUUCUGGAAAUCUGGCGGGGCAAGGCCUCCUCUUUGGUGCUUUAUCAGUUCUUGGACAAGGACUGCAGGGUUAUGUUGAGUAACACAUUCACUAUCUCGGUCUUUUCUCCUCAUUAAGGAAAAAAAAUUCCACCAUAAUGCGAUCCAUGAUUAGAGUUAAUGCAGUCUCUAACAUCUCCCAGAUGUUUUAACAUCACUCACAUCACUUGCAGAGUUUGUAAAUGUGAUCUGUCUACUGGUUUAUUCUUUUGGGGAGCAAACAUUAUCUUUCUGCUUGGGAAAGAAAAAAAACUAAAUAGCUAAAGCAGAGACUCAAUGAGUUACUUAACAUAAUUUACAGUAUGUUUAGAAACAGUGCUAAAAUGCAGAGUAUGUAAUCAAUGGCACAUUCUCAUAAAAAAUGUAUUUGCACUCAGUAACAGAAAUGUGAUCAUGCCAAGAUGACCAGAUGUCUCUUCUUAAUGGUAUCCCUUUUUUCAUACUUUGCUUCAGUUCUGCUUUCAUAGCCAUAAAAUAUUUUCCUUUCCCAGUACGGGAAUAGAAAUAGUAUAAUUUCAACCUGGAAGAGCAUAUCCUUGUGGCACUGUGUUACUAGUUUAAUUUUCAAAAUUGUUGACUUUAUUAUGAUAGCUUUAGGAGCACUUUAUUUGUUUUAAGCUUCUUCAUUGUUUCAGGUUUUUUUUUUUUUUAUGGUACAGCUGGAACACCCCCCUUUUUUUUCCUUUUUAUUGCUCUAGGCAAUUAUUUAGGUAGUCAAUAUUCAAAUGUAGUGAACGUGGCUCAAACAGAAGGUCACCAGGGCUUGAAAUAUCUUUUUUUUUUUCUUCAUUGGGUUUUGAAUCAGAGCCUAGCAUUUGAAACCAUUGCUGUGUCCAUAUGUAGAUAUGCCUAAUGUGCCAGUUAUAUUUUUAGUGCCAUGUGUCAACCUUUUAAGUGUUUGUUUUUAAAUGUAGAUACUCUAGUCAUAUGGAGCCCUGGUGGCACAGUGGUAGAGUUCAGCUGCUAACCAAAAGUUCAGCAGUUGGAAUCCACCAGCUGCUCCUUGGAAACUCUGUGGGGCAGUUCUGCUCUGUCCUAUAGGGUCGCUAUGAGUUGGAAUAGACUCCACAGUAACGGGUUUGGUGUUUUUGGUUUAUAGUCAUACAGGUAGAAACUUCCUUAUUCACGAUUAAAACACAAAUGAACAACAAAAUCUAGAAGAAGUAACUUUCAAAGAGGUUUAAGAAUUAUAUUUGGAGGAAGCAGGAAUUUUCUGAGUUGGAUUUAAGGAAUAAGAUAAUAGGAUCUUGUAUUUGAAUAACAUUUUUUAAAAUAUUUUUAUCACUAUUAUCAAUAUAAAAAUUGUUCAUAUCUAGCUUUACAUUUUAACAAACAGUUGUCCUGUGUUGGUACAUUUAACUUUCAUAGUUAGUCUUUGAAGUAAGGAGAAAUAGGUAUUAUGCCCAAAUUAUGGAAGAGAAAACUGAUCAGGGAGGGACUAAGACCUAAACACAUCUUUCCACUUCUAUACUCUUUCAUUACUUCAACCUAUAAACCUCUGUCCUGGGGACUUGAGUUCUCUUUUCAUAGUGCUCUCCAUGUAUAUAUACCACGGUAAACACAGUAACUUGGCACUAACGGUAGGUCCUUUAGGGCACACAGGAAGUGUCAUUCCAAGAAGAGAUUUUAAAAUGCGUGGUUGAAAGGAAGCCUUCUGUUGCUUGGCUCUUCAAGAUGAUAAACACCAGAUGCAGACAUUGAUGUAACAAUGAUUAUCCAGGCUGAUGAGCAUGUUACUUUGAUUACAAGGGCAGUGGACUUAGAGGCAAUGCUUGGGAAGGAUUUGGAGCAGCGGGAGAUGUUGCAAACCCCUCACUCCCCCCACUCUAAAGGCUCUUGCUGCCCACUCUGACCAGGGCAGCUGAGCACUGGUUGUUCACUCACUCAUCCCCAGGCUUUCACCGCACAUUAAACCAAAGUCUUGGGAAACAAGACAUUUGGUCUUCAUAAUCUGAAAAAUCACCCUAAUUUCCAGCAGUUUCACUGAAGCAUAGGGCCAUGAGUGUUUUUAGUGUUCAGUAUAUAAUCAGUUCUCGGUGUAUUGUGACUGACUGAAUGAAGAUAUUCCAAACCAUAGAAUAUUCUGCCCCAGUCAGUACUCUUUCUGUUUGUCAAAUAUUUUGAACCUCCAGAUUACAAUUUGAGAAUAUUCUGUGCGGAGCCAUAUUUUGGGAUCAAUUCAAGAUACCAUAUUUAAGUCAAAUAUCAAAUAUGUGUCCAGUUUAAUUGUUUAUUUUUAUUAAAAUAAAGUGACUAUAACCGAAUGGAUCUAAGGAUUCAGCUUUAAAAUAUAGGAAAAUAGUAUUACUACAGUAUUGAAAAAAAGAUCAGGGAUUAUUUUGUUAAUCGUGAUGCGCAUUUUCCAGCCUGUGCACGCUCUUUAGACAGCCACACUUCACUUGACUGAAGUCACCGUGCAGCCCUAGAAUGGGAAAACGUGAUCUCUGUGAGUGAGAACUACCGAACUUGACAUUCGUUGUGGCAGAAUUGGCGUUUGUUUUAGGUACAAUUGCAUACCAUUAUAUCAUAUUAAAUCCUAUUAGAUGUGUCGUGUUGGUGUCUUUUCCUUUAGAUCUGUGUUCAACAUCUGUUGACUACUGACUAUGCCUAAGAGAUGAUUAUAGCUAUUUAGCUGUAUUAUUCUUUCAUUAUUUACUUGUUUCUCUAUUAUGAAGAAAAAAAUUCAGAUGCUUUCAGUUAUUUAUUUUACUCCACUAGCAAACAUUUAGGCUUAUUCUGGUAAACCUAAGAUGUUAAGUACAAAUACUUUAUUCUAAAGGGCAAGCUAUUGAAUACUCUUUAAGAAUUCUGUUACUGGAAUUCCAUUCUGUCAGUAUCACCUACUAGCUGUUUAAAUUUGGACACGACCUUUAACAUUCUAAGCCCUAGUUUUCCCACCUGUAAAGUAGAGACAAUGGUACCUUACCCAUGGACUCUUAUUAAGAUUUAUUAAGAAGACAUAUUCAAAAGCAACAUGUCCUCUGAAUGUAGUACAAUUAGGACUUGAAUUACAGUUAGUAAAGUAAUUAUAUUUAUACCAAACCUGUUGCCAUCGAGUCAAUUACGACUCAUAGCAACACUAUAGGACAGAGUAGAACGGCCCCAUAGGGCUUACAAGGAGCAGCUGAUGGAUUUUGAACUGCUGGCCUUUGGUUAGCAGCUGUAGCUCUUAACCACUGCACCACCACAUAUAUUGCAUAAGAAUUGAGAAAUUCUUGAUUUUUUUUGAAUCAUUGUUCAUUUUCCAUUUUACUUAUGUAACCAAAUUAACUUCUUUCCAGUAAUCUACAUAUUAUAAAUAAUAUAUUUCUUCUAUAGAAAUUGAAGGAAUACCAUAAAAAACGUUAGAGCCCUAUGGUCUGUAUAUAAUUAAAAGCCAUACGAUCUUGCUUCAGAAACAAGUUAUUAGAUACAGUUAUCAUAGUCUAUUACAAAGAACAAGGGGAUCCUGCAUGGCUUAAAGUCAGGAAGACUAUGCGUCGGGGUUGUAUCCUUUCACCGUAUUUAUUCAAUCAGUAGCAAGCAAAUAAUCCGAGAAGCUGGACUAUAUGAGGAGGACUCAUUAACAACCUGCGAUAUGCAGAUGACACAACCUAGGGAAAUAUUACGGGGAAUGGCAGAACUGAUUAUUCAAAAAGCUGACUUGAGUAACAGGGAGUUAGCUAGUUUAGCAAACUUGAUAAUAAUUCUGCCGUACACCAUCUUCCCAGGGCAUGGGCUAGCACGUAUUUUAUAUAAUCCGAAAGUACUCAAGCAAUAUGCUUUCAAGUUCCAUAGAAGUUAGGUAAAGCAAUUUAUGAGUUCUAAAAUUAAAAUCCAGGUAUUACACAAAACAAAGAAAAUGUUCAAACAAGUUUAGACACAUUCAAGAGGCUUGUCAUGAUGUCUGAAAAUACAUGCGCCUCCAAGAAGAAUAUACAUAAGUUUGAAUUUCCAAACUCCCAGAAUAUUCAAAAGGAAUGUGCCAAGCUGUUCUAAAAUUGUUACAUUUGUGCCUCCCACCUCUGAAACUAUCUGAUAUAUUCAGCAAUAGAAAUAAAAUAAUUGAGGAGACGUACAGUGCAGUACUGCUUUCUUCUUGUGUCUUGAUAACGUGUAACAAGCUUAAACUUUCUGAGGAAAUCAAUAGGAAUUAAUAUAAAAAUUUCAGCAUAAUUUGUGUCGUAGUGAAAGAAAAGGAAAAGCAGUGCUGAUACUUAAUAAUGCUGGGAGGUCUUUACAUUUCUGAAAGACUUCAGCCUACAUUCUGAGAUGGUGUAACAGGAAGAGAGUUUAUGAGAGAAAAUUACCCCCUGACUCAGUGGGAUGAUAAUGUGUUUGUUUCUCUCACCAUUACCUUUUUAUCAGGUUAUGAAUGCAGGGACCACUUAGCACACCGGGCGUGUGUGUGCCUGGCAUUCUGAACUUUAAUCUGACUAAUGCCCCCAUUGCAAGAAUGUAAAUAGAUUACAAAGAAAAAUUCAAUAUUUUCUCCCUUCUCCCACCAGAGCAGCACGCAUUAGUUGUUUCCCGCCGUAUAAUUGCAUUACAUACCGUGAUGUGAUCCCUGGUUAAUGGCAGUCACAGUCAACUGUCACUUUGCUUUCAGCCUUGGUCAUUCAGUGUGAUUUACAUAUUUAACACCAUACCAAAGACUGGGUUCUUUCAAGCCACUUGUGGAGGCUCUAUGCUAACCUCUAUCAAGAAAAUAGUUGUACUCCCUUCUGCCCCCUCUCCCUCCCCAUGGGACACCUUUGCCAAAGGAAAAAAGCAUACACACACACACACACACACAGCAUCUCUAAGGUAAAUUAAUUUAUCACAGAUUUUUAUGCCCUUAAAAACACCGACUAUAUUACCGAGUCAACACUUCUGAGAAAUUUUUUUCUAUUUUCUCACGAAAUUAAUUUUUAUCUUAGCUUCCUAUAAAUUAACCUAAUUUUUACAAACUAAAACAAAAAUAAAAUGUGCUUUUACGUAGUAGGAGCAAAUACCUCAGCAUAUUUCCAUGAAUUUAGCACCAAAAAAAAUUGAAAAUCUAAUUUAUCAUAGUUGUUCAGCAAAACAAAUGAUAUCAUGUCGGGAAUUCUUCGAACCUCAUUGAAGCGAGAGAGGUGGUAAAUUUGAGAUUUUAUGCUUAUAUAUAAACAGAUAUAAAUUUAAAUGCACUUAAAUCCUUCAGUUAUUUGUAUGGAAGUUUCCUCCCUGUCAUAAAUUGAAUACCCAAGGAUGAUGAGAAUGAAAAGUGAAAUCCUCCAUUGCCUGAUCUUAUACAGGGACUCUUUUCAGAACCAUGCCUGCUUUCCCAGAGUACCUUAUUCUGGGGAAAGUGGAUUAGAAGAUUGGUAGCUUUGAGUGAGAAAUUCUCCUUGUUUAGUUGAAAAUAGCCCAUCCAAUUUCUCUGCCAGUAUUCUGAUUGUCUGUAAUGCAUUCUUCUACCAUCAUCAGCGUGUUUGUGUGUGUGAAAUGCAAAAGCAAUGAUUUUUUAAAAAUAUUUUUCAUGUGUUCCUUCAUCAGUGUCAAGCUUGAACCCCUACUUCAAAUCUUUAAAUGGUCCCUUAUUACCAACCAGGGAGUUUCUGGGUAGUGCAAAUUGUUAACACAGUCAGAUGCAAACCAAAGACUGGAGGUUCGAAUCCACCUAGAAGGACCUCGGAAGAAAGGCCUGGCAACCUACUUCCGAAAAUAUCAGCCAUUAAGAACCUCAUGGAGCACGGUUUUCUGACACACACGGAGUCCCUAUGAGUUGGAAUCUACCGGACAACAACUACUUAUAUUUGCAUGCACUUCAACAACAUGAUGCCCAGCAAUGGGUAUGUUUCUUCAUCUUCAUCUAGCAAGUAUUCUUCACUCAUCCGUCAAGUUUUAGCCAAAACAAGAUGACUUUGACAAAGCAACCUUCUUCCCUUACGUCUUCUACCAGACAGUGCCCAGGAUGCACCUCCUCGCUUCGCCUCCUUGGAAGAAAAUUUCUACCUCUUCACUUCCAUGGUCCUUGGCACGUAUUUCUAUUUUUAUCAAUUUUCCCAACUCAUGGUUCUGAAUCACUAUGUCUUUCUCCUAUAUGUAAGAGGAAACUCUUCAAGGGAAGAGGCUAUUUAAUCAACUUUAUAUAUAAAAAAAAAAAAAAAAAAAUUUUUUUUUUUAAUAUAUCCUAUGCAUCUAGCAGGAGGCAAUGCAGUUUUCCUCACUAAAGUAUAAGCUACAUGAAAGCAGAUCUGAUUACCACUAUAUCCCUGGAGCCUAAAGUAAAACAGUGCCUAAGACCAUAGGAGUUCUGCAGAUACCUUCUGAAUGAAUGAAUCAGUGUAACUAUUAAGUGAAGAAGCCAUCAGCUACACAGAAGCUGAUUGCUUCCUCGUGUGGUUUAACAUUUCGCUAUUCAUUUCUACAUCUUUUCUUUGUCUUUUUUUUUUUUUUUCUUACGUAAUUUAAUUAAAUUGAACACUUAGCGCUUAAUAACACUAGCGCUGUGUGUCUCAUUUUUGGCACGUGGAGAAGAGGCCGUUUCCCUUUUCUUUAAUCUGUUGGCAGAGCGUUUCUGGUCUAUUUGGCCUGCAAUAAAAGUGUUGAGGUUAGAAAACACUUUGCACCUAAGGUUAACAAGAAUUAAAAGCAGUCUGUUGUUAAGAGAAAAUAUGCAAACAGACAGUUAACACAGUUGAGUGGGUUUUGCUAAACUCUCCUUCCUGGUGUUUGGGUUUGGCUUCUACCAUAGUAUUAUCAGUUCCUGCUGAUUUGGCAAGAUCAGCAGUGGGACUGUCUGCCUUGCAAUUAUCAAAGGUUGUAAGGCGUUUUCUCUGGGAUGAAUCACAAAAUCAUAAACUUCUCUAUGACUGAAAGAGCUUCCCAGCUAUUGUUUCUGUCUUUUUGAAUCAAUAUCCACAGGGUUCAGUGUCCUUUUGUAUUCAACAGAAAUUAUGAAAUCAUUCAACUCCUUUCUCAGGGCACUGGAUAAUGGGAACCUGAAGAAGACUUAAUUGUCUCUGACAACAACUCAACCACUUUUUUCUUUGUAUUUCAAUGCUGGGCUGCCUAGUAAAAGAAGGGACAAUUUGAGUUAGGAAAAUGCGAAGGCAAAUUUUGGACUGCAUUGUAAAAUAUUCUAUUGCAUAUAGAUUUGAUACAUAAAUAUAUGUGGUAUUUAAUAUUAUACAGAACACUGUUAUUUGCUUUUCCAGGUUGGAGAUGUCCAAGUUACUCUACCACAAAUUGUCUGCUAAAGCCUGGAUAUCUCAUUUUCCAUAGUAAACUUUACUUAUGUAUAAAAUUUUAGAGAUAGUAAAUUAUGAAGGAAUAGAAAACAUUGACAAAACAUUAAAAUCAUUUUUCCAAUAUAUAUGCAUGUUUGUAUAUGGAAAGAGUCAAGAAUAGAGAGAGAUCCACUUCUGACUUGCUUUAUUCUGUAUUUCCAGUGGCUGACAAUGAUAUACACUGAAAAAUUAGUUGUUGAAUGAAAGAAUAAAAGUAGGAAGCAAAGAAAGAAUGUAUAUUAGGGUUAACAAGUGGUUUAAGAAGCUAAAUCCAUUCACUUAUUUUUAACUGAGAUCAGAGUGUUGCUUGCCCUCUAGUGGUCUGUCUUAAUGAAAUAGGAAAAUAAAACUUUAAUCCUGGUCUUGAAAAGAUGAGGAUUUACUUGAUAAUAACAAAAUAUUUAUAAAUGAAUAAUAGGAGUAUUUUUAUUUUUACCAAAUAUAUGUCUCAUAAAACUUUCUUUUUUCCUUGUUAAAACUUUUAGCAAGUGAGGCAUAACACAUCUGGCAAACCAAAAAUAAGAAAGACUUCCCUUUAGAAAAAUGCAAAUACUGUAUGUGUGAUAUUGGUAUCUUAAGUCUCCUCAUGUUAUUAUAUUUUAGUUGUACUUCCAAUUUGUUUUGCCUUAAGUAAAAUACGGAUAGAAUUACAAUUGUGUUCAUGAUCUUUCAAGAAUUGAAUAUUUCACAAGUGAAAAACUAAAUCUGUCAGAGUUUUGUAAUUAUAGACAUAAAAUACAAGCACACAUUUCUUUUGGAAUAGUCUGGUAGUAACGAGAAAACUACUGACAAUUUGGACACAAGCAUGAAUGGUUACUGUUUACUUAGUUGUUUCACAUUAUUUCUGUUAUUCUUUAUUGGUUAUUAUUAUGCAAAUAAUCAUUUGGAUAAAAAUGUCCCGCUAUUCUAACAUCAAAUAUAAUAAUCUAAUGAGAAUAAAAUUAAAUGAAAAUAAAUAUUAAAUAAAAACAUGUAUGUUUCAAGGAAUGUGUUUUUCUCUCAACAACUCGCUAGCUUUCUGAUAGUUGUCUAGUGUCUAGAUGGUUGCAGUUCUUUUCUAAUUGAAUUAGGAAUAGGAUUCAUACAUUUUAAUUCAUAUUUUAAGGUUGUAUCAGUUAUUUAAAAGACCAGAUGGUAAUCUUUAAAUUUUUUUUAUUAAACCCUUUUGUUUUUGGUAUUUGAGCAUCUUCUCUUUUUGUUUUAGUCUAUAACUUAUGUAACUUUAACAAAAUGAAAUUUUUUUCUAGCUAGAAGGCAGAUUCUAGAAAUGAAGAGGAAGAGGUGAAGGAUGAAAUGUUUGCAAAACAGCAUAGAAUUAUAGGCUAAGUGACUUUAAGAAAGCUUUAAUCAGUAUUGGAUUAUACUUCUUUGACUAACUGACAUUGGAUACAGCAUAAUAAUUACACUGAAAAAUGUGGUAGAGAUUACAACAUUCUUAUGAUGUCAAAGUAAAAAAGCUUUUAAAAAUUAUUUCUCAGGUUUCUAAAGUUUUUAGUAGAUAAAGUGGCAUAAAUCAAGAGUAACUUAAUUAGAUGUUAUUCCAUCUUUUUUUUUUGAUUGUUGUUGUUGUUCCACUUGUACCAUAUGUUGAAUUUUCUACACUUGGGCCAUCUUUAGGUUUAAAAAAAUCCUUCUUUUGAAAUCAAGGAAGACAUCUCUAUAUUUCAGAUUAAGGUGUUCAAAGAGACUCUAAAUGACUCCUCAAAAGACAUAAAGAUCAUCAUUUUAAUUUUUAAACAAUUUCCCACUUUAGUUUUAAAUUUCAAAAGUGAGUCCAAGUAAAUCCAGGAGAAUUGAGAGUGAUUUUUAUACCAAGUAAAACCUCCACUAUUUGUGUGUGUGUUGUGUUCUCUUUAAAGUAAGAAUAGCCUAAUUGAUAAUUAAUAUUUGUAAUUCAACGUAUGUAUUUAUAUAGACACAUGUAUUUCUAUGCACCUGUAAAAAUGUGUACUGAACUAAAUUCCAAAUUUGUUUUUUUUUGUUUCUGUGUGUGUGUAAAAAGAGAGAGAGAAAUAGCGAGCAUGCAGGCAGGCACAAAGUUUAACCAAACACAUACAAUGUUCGUUCUCAGUUAACUUUGCUCUUUCAAUCUGGAAAUCUAUCUAGCAGACGUUAAGAGAAAUGAAAGUCUACUGAUAUCAAUCCCAUCACUUAAGACUAGUACGACCUAUUAAAAUAUAUGUCACUUCCACUUUCUUCUUGCGUGUUACUUUCAAGAGUUAUGAAAGUGAAAUCAAAAUGGAAAUACAGUUUACCUCAAAGGAAAAAUAUACUUGGUUGAUUAGCAUCAGUAAUUAUUUGGUGUAGUAUUUUUUUCUUGUUAGUUACCAGGUUUUCACUAAUUGACCAAAGUAUUUUAGGUCUUCUUUUUUUUAGGUCAGCCGUUAACAGUGGCUCUUUAGGGAAGUAUGAUUUCUGUCUUAUAAGAUUUUAAUGGAAGAUUCUUAAUUAGCUAGCCCAAUACCAAGUAAGAUUCAAAUACAUACUUUUCUUCUUAUUUAUCAGUGUAUGAAAUUGAAUGGUCACAAAAUCUGAAAUUAUGUAUUAUAAUAUUUACCAUUCUACUUUAAUGUAUUAAAUACAUUUCAAAAAUCUACCCCAUUCUAAACUAAAAUUCUACUGAAAUUUCAGAUAUUUCACAUAGUCCAUUUACAGUAUAUUUGUCCUGACUUUAAAUUCUGACAGACUGUUGACUUUUUUUAAUGCCUAAAUGAAAACCUUUGUCUUGAUAACAAGGCUACAGUUUUUCAAUUCAUCUGUUCCCCAGAUUUUUGAGUACCCUGUUUGUCACUGUGCUAGGCUCAGUGGGGAAUACAAAACGCACAAUAAAGAGUUCUCACCUUCGUACAAUGAAUCACUGAAAUUAUUCAGAAGGUUCAUGCAAAGCUUUAAAAAAAUUCCUUGGAAAUUUUUGGCUCUGGAUCUUUUAUUAAAAUAAUCUUCAUUUGCUGGCUCUACCAUAUAGAGAGAUGAAUAGAUAUUUUGAAACAUUGAGUGGAGAACUUUGUGAUACAAGGGUCAAAGGUAAAAUAACUACAGACCUGGAAGGGACCUUGUGGUGGAACAUUCAUGUCCAGAAUACUAAUAGUUUCUAGAAAGAAAAAAAUAUCCUCUUUAAAUAACUUUGGUACACUAAGUUAAAAACAAAACAGACAAAAGCUCUUUGCUGCAAGACUUCCCAGAACUCUUUAAAAGCUAAUAUGCAUUUUUACACUCUGAUAUGAAUUAUAACAUGCAGGUCUUUCUAAAUUUAUUUGAGGAAUUCUUUUUUCUACAAACGCUGGGUUAGAAGAGAUGGUCUACCCUCCUUGGGAACACACAAGAUAUGAGCAGGGCAAUGAAGAAUGAGCAGCAUUUGUGGAGGUGAAGAGGAAAGGAAGCCCAUUACAGGAGGAGAGGAACGUCAUGAGUAACAGAAACAAUGAAUACAUUAUUUUAAAGCAUAUUUUCUUCGUUCAGCUUGGCUGGACCAGAGAAUUCAAAUUGGCAAAUAAAAAACAAAACAACUGUUGCCAUGGAGUCGAUUCUGACUCGUAGCGACCUUACAAGGACAGAGUAGAACUGCUCCAUAGAGUUUCUAAGGAGCACCUGGCGGAUUUGAACUACCAACCUUUUGGUUAGCACUAUGCCGCCAAGGUUUCAAGUUGACAAGUAUUAUUCAUUAAAUCUGGACCAUUAGAAUGGGACCAGACUGAAUAAAGCCUAAUUGCCAGAUUAAGGGAUUUUGGUUUUAUCACGUAGUGCACAAGAAGCUGCUAAUUUUUUUUUUUUUUUUUUAAGAGGGAGAUGAUAAUAGCAAUAACAGUGACAGUCAUUUAUUGAGCAUUGGUCUCAGGAAUUUUUCUAAGAGUUUUACAUAUAUUAACUAAUUUAUCCUCUCAACAACUCUUUAUUGUAGGUAGGGAAUAAAGGUAACGAAAUGUCAACUAACUUCUCCAAGAUUAGUAAACUACUGAAACUUGGGACUGAAAUGUAUACAUUACAAAGACAUUUGAUUCUAGAACGUUUGCUCUCUAGCUGUAUUCUAUGGCACAAAGAAAGCGUUGUAUCAGGAGAUUAACCUGGAAUAAUACGGAUGAUGAACCCGAAAGGAAGUAGACUGGAAGAAAAAUGAUUGGCUAGGAGUCUCCUGAAAUAGACCAAGAAUGAGAUUGUAAAUUCUUUUUGCUCAUAAAGCCUUUUAACUACAGUGAUGGCAGUAGGAAUGGAAAGGAAGGGGUGAUGUUUAGAGAUUCUAAGAAGAAGCAUCAGUGCUAAAGAUUUUGUCUUAUUGAUGGCUUCACAUUGAUCUAAGGAGGUGAAGGAGUUCCGUGUAUCAGUUGUAGCUGAUUCUGGAGUUUUAAAUCGAGAUGAUGGGAGAAAUUUUAUGAUACCACUAAAAAAAUCUGAGGAACUCAUGCAGAAGAGACAAUCAUAGGGAAUGAUGAUGAAUCUAAUUUUUAAAGAUCUUUAGUUGGAAAUGGUGGCAGCACACUAAAUGUACCUGACAGUAAACUGGUAGGGAGACUUGGAGUCACCAGCAGCAAUAGGAUGGUUGAGAUUAUGGGAGGGUAUAAAUUUUCUAAGGCCAAGAAUGAGAUAGGAAGAGCUAACAGGAAGGAGGCCUGGAAUCUGUUAAGUUUACAAGUGUGAGGAGGAAUUACAAUCAGAGAAGGUAACUAAGAAGUUGUAGAAUGAAAAUGUAAUUUUGCAGAGACAUUGUAGAGAAAGAUGAAGUUUUGACGCUGGACAUUGUUAAAUAGGGCAAAAAGAAAGAACUAGAAUGGGAAAGGGGGAGGGGGGCAGGGAAUAAGUCAUUUCAUUGGACUGAACUGUUUAGCUGUCAUUAGAAAGAACACAGUCAUUCCAGAAUUAUCAGCUGUCAUUUAUCUCUCCUAAUUAUCUAAUGGUGCAUCAUUAGCUCAAUUUCUUCAGUCAGUCCAAAUACAUAAUCACUUUCCUUUGUAUCUGUCGGUUAAUGUGCUUGGUAUGAUAUUAUGUUAGAGAUGAAAUGAAAAUGAUUAUUCUUAAAUCUUGUUAGUAUGCUUGGUACUCUCAAAUUCAUGUGAGUAAAAACUCUGAAAACUGAAAAAUGAAACACAUUUAUUCAUUCUCCAAAUGUUUACUGAGUUCCUACCCUGUGCCUCAAAGUAAACUUUCAGUGAUUUUUCUGGUGGUUUAUAGUGCAACUUGUAAUCAUUUAGUAUAUAUGUGUGUAUUCGUGUAUAUAUGUAUGUAUAUGUAUCACUUAUUGUUUAGAUCACUCAUAUGUUGCCUUAUUUGUUUUAUUUUUUUUUUUAAUGUACUCAAAAUCAAAGAAUAAAGACAGAUGUAUCCUGGAUAUUAUCAUUCCUGUGUAUUUAAAUAAGCAUUUUAGUCUAUUUUGUUCUUAUUAACACAGUGCAGCCUUUUAAAAAACCCAAGUUGGUGAGGUUACUGAUUAAUAUUUCCAAGAUUUACCAUCUGUCUAGUCUGACUACAUAGUCAUUUUCCUAGGUCUUCUUUCCCUGCAUAGCAAUUAGCCUUACUCACUACAUUGGAUUUUUUUUUUUAAUGUAAAGUUACACAUAAUAUAUUAUUGCAUCAAAUCUCAUUCAAAAUAGCAACUAUAAAUGUGUGAGUGACAGGAUAAAUUACCGCUGAGUAUUAUGCUUAAUGUUACUAUCGCCUAGGGCCAAAACCCAUCAUGCAGUGUUGGUGGUUGGGUGACAUAUUUUGAUUGGAAUGUACGUACUAUUGGGCAUCAGUCAAAUGUAGUAAUUUAUGAUAAUUACUCACCUGAGGCAGAUAAAAACAACAUCCUAAAUACAAAUAUUCUCAUAGCAUUCUUGCUCAGAAAUUAUUACCCUGGAUUUGAAUAUUCUGCAACCACCUAGUGAUUUUACUUCCAAGUUAUUUUCAUGUAACACACAAAAUCUUGUCUACUUGGUCUAUGUUUCGUAGGAAAGUCAUAAGAAUAAGUUAAACCACUUGUUAAGAUGAAUUUAUAAUGAAAAUAAAAUUUAGAUGAAUGCUAGUAAUUAAAAAAAAAACAAAAACCCAAACCCAUUGCCCUUGAGUCAAUUCUGACUCAUAGCAACCCUAUAGGACAGAGUAGAACUGCCCCAUAGAGUUUCCAAGGAACGCGUGGGGGAUUCGAACUGCCGACCCUUUGGUUAGCAGCCGUAGCACUUAACCACUAUGCCAUAAUUAGAAGCAAAUAAAUUAGUUUUUAUUAUUUAAUUAAUUUAAAUAUAACUAAUUAAUUAGAAACAAAUAAAAAAUGUUUUUUUUCAUCCUUUGUAUCAGCUACUAGGAGAAAGGGAGUAUAUCAUUAUAUAUGCUAGACAUGUGGUAGCACUCCCCAGAAAAAAGAAUCAUUUUAAUGUACUCUUCACCCUUGAAAUGAGCUCAGCCUUGUGUUCUUUGAAUCUACUCUUGGACUUCCUCAGAGACAGAGAUAAAAUCUAAGUUGUGACCUUGCUGGCAUUCUUUCCAGAAGACAUGCUUUCUCGCCUCUUGCAGAAACUCUGGUAUUGCCUUUGCAGCAGCUCCUGUACUUCAAAUUGAACGUUAGAGUUUUAUUAUCAGAUGGAAGACUAUAAAGGUGCAUAUUUUUCCCCAGUAGCAUAUCAAGUGACAAAUUCAUUUGGAGAUCAUUAAAGUUUCUAGAACAAAAAAGUUAUGUGCUCCUAUAACCUAACUCUGGUAUGUGUUGAGGAAGAACUUUUUAUAAUAAUGAUCAAACCAAUUUGCUUUACUUAAAAUAUUAUGUCACCGAAUGACAGAACAAAAAGUGUUUAUAAGGCAUACUGCAUAAUUAGGAAGUAAAUUCCUAAGAUAUAUGGCUAAUACAGCAGGGUUUGAAUAGCACCAUUUCUAAAGCUGAAUCGGGGUCUUUGAUGAGAGUAGGUUAUAACAAUGCAGGCUUUGAGAGCCUUGCAAAAUCUCAAUUAAGUUGUUGAAAUGUUUCCACAGUUUAUUUUUCUAGGAUCUUUUCCAUGACUGCUUGCUCAUAAAGACCUGGCUGUGGAAGGAAAUUGGGCAGGAACUUUUGAAUUGGCCUCUUGUUUGCCUAGUUCUAUUGACCUGUACCAGGGCGGUUACACUUUGGGGGCCUUACGUUGUUCAUUUGCUACUGUUCUUAAUCAAUAAAUUGUUCUCAGUUAACGAAUAAUUAAAAUCAAAUUCUGAUCAUAGACCAGGAAGCAAAAUUCUGAAAUUAAGAAGUGAAGAUAGGUUGAUUUUUCUUUUUGAUUUCCUGCCGUAUGUAGCAUUGUCAUUUUUAUUUUUUAAAGUAUCAGGAAUAUGUGGAUAAAUAAGCAAAAUUUCUUAGUUUUAGACUGGUUGAAUUUGAAUAACUUGAAAAAUAUAGACAUGAUUACUUGAAGGCAAUUGAAUGAAAAAUGAAAAUUAGUAUGAUAAUAAAUGAUCAUAAAAAUUAUAAAACAGACCACCCCCAUAUUUAAACUGGAACAUAUGACAUCAGAAGCCAAGGACAUUAGUCAAUGAGUCAUACAAGUGUGGUUAUGCACACAUAUAUACAUAUAUGUUUUUGCAAAAACUUUUCUUAAAGAGCUGUUAAUUUGAUAUUAGCAUAAGGGUUAAUUUUUCAUUCCCAAUUCUAAUGUAUUUUUUGAAACCACAACUGAAUGAUGUUACUAUUUUUGUAUGCUUGAAAUGAUGUGUUUUUCUCCAUUUUUUAAAAAUUUUCUUCUCAGUGUCACGUAAUUGAAGAAAUCAGAAGUAAAAUAAUCUCUAAAUUAUUUAGUACCAUGUCAUUAUUACAAUCCAUGACAGUUCUUUCAGGAGGGCCGUUAGAAAGUUAAGAUCACAAAGAUGGGAUCCAACUAGCAACUGUAUAUGUUUGUUAUGUGUAUUUGCCACGGACUUGGGGUUCAGAAGAAAUGACAGGUACUCAAAAUGGGCAACUAGGGUUUUGGAGACAGGAAGUCAAAGAAAAACUAAAAGUGUUAUGUUUAUUUUCUGCUGUAUUUAGCACUGAGUGGUGGGUAAACUUGUUCAGUGGGGAAUGUAGUUUUCAGAGAGAAAGGGGAAAAAGUCCUAGUGUACAAAGGCAGAGAAAAAUGUAAAACUUUUUCCAAGGAUCUGAGGAUCAGGAAAUGCCAUUUUACAUUAUUAUCCAGUGAGUGUUCAUUAUUUCAUAGAAAAUAUGCAGGGUACUUCAAGAGCAGAGGUCUUGUUUUAAUAUAUAAUGUAAAUGGAGUUGAGAUAGGAUUGUAACAUUGUAAUACCCGUGGGAAAUAAAUUUUCAGGAUUCUUAGUGAUAUUAGAUAGUGGUGAUUGAGUAAUGACAUAAAUUUGAAGUUCCUCUUAGGUUGAUUUCAAAUGAUAAUUAGGGAUUGAGGUGAAAGAAGAAAAUGCCAUAAGUUUCUGAAACUGAAGUUGCUUUGUUGCAUUGAGGGUAUUAGUAACAGUUUUCCACUGAAUAUAUCCAAAAUGGGAUGGGAGAGUCAGGAGUGGGGAGAAAGCCAUGCCAUUUUAUGCUUUUAGAAAGUGGUGGUUACAUGAUUUUACAUAUUCUUCCAUUAAAAAGAGCAGAAACAUAAUAAAAUAAAUAAAUCACAUAGUUACUAUCCUGUUCUUCUAGGGCCUCUUCAUAAAUUUGCUGAUGUCUUAAAAUUUAAUUUGGCUCCUGUUCUUCAAUACCGUUCAGAAGGUUUGUGUCCUGAUGAGUAUGGAAGCCAAACAAUAUUAGGAAAAAUACCCUGAAUCCAUUGCAUUAGAAGAAGGAUUAUAUUAAGUGACUCUACUGGAUAAUAAAUUACAAUAAGAAUUAAAAUAAAUGUCAACGUGUUAAUGUUAAGAAAGAAAAUAGUUAGAUGUAUUGUCCAACAAUUACAAGUUUGACAACAAUGGAAGACAUAUGAACCAAAUUCAUUUUGUGCACUAGGAAGUAAAGUUAUGGGAUACACUGUAUAGCAUAUUAAUAAAAGUCAAAAGAAGUUUUUUUGUUUUUGCUUUGUUUUGUUGUUUUAUGGAAGAAGAAGGAAUUUAAGGCUACUAAAAAAAUUUUUUUUUUUUAAUAACCAGUGGGUGAAUAACCCAGAAUGGAAACCCUGGUGGCAUAGCGGUUAAAAGCUACAGCUGCUAACCAAAAGAUCAGCAGUUUGAAUCCACCAGGCACUCCUUGGAACCCUAUGAGGCAGUUCUACUGUGUCCUAGGGGGUUGCUAUGAGUCAGAAUCGACUGGACAGCAAUAGGUUUUUUUUUUAAUAGUCCCGGAGAACAUCAUUUGAAAACUCUGGGAUAUAAGAUGUGUGGGAAUCUUUUCAAGACAGAGAUUUUGAAGAUUAUAGUAAUAUUUUAUAAACUAAAAACCAAACCUGUUGCUGUUAAGUUGAUUCUGACUCCUGGCAACCCCACGUGUAACAGAGUAGAACUGCUCCAUGGGGCUUUCUUGUCUGUAAUGUUUACAGAAGCAGAUCGCCAGGCCUUUCUUCCGUGGCACCCCUGGGUGGGUGCUAACUGCCAACCUUUAGGUUAUCAGCCUAUCACAAACUGCUUGCACAACUCAAGGACCAUAUAAUAUUCAACAUAACCUGAACUCAAAUUUACUGGUUACCUGAAAAAGAAGUUAGAGUGAUGAUUUUAUUAAGUUACUCAUACAAUGAAAAUGUCUACUUUCACUGUUAAUAAAAAUGGAGCUGACAUGCUGAGUGCUUUCCACUUGUGUCAAGCCGGGGCUGAGCAUUGGGCAUUGUCAUGUAACUGCUCUGAUUAAAUAUAAGUCUAGUGCACACUGUUUUUAAUUAUAUAUGCCAAAAAAUGUUUAUAUGAGACUGACUUCUGUUUUAUCUCAAAAAAAAAGUUUCUAAUCCAGUGUUUUUGGAAGGUGAUCGGGGCUGAAUCAAAGCCUUUGUAAUAAAACAACCAAGUAACCUAGGAGUAGUAAAUGUGUUUUCAGUAAAGGAUCACGUAUUAGUGCCCAUUUACACCUUUCGUCAAAACUAGUGACAAAAUAUGAAUACACCAUCACUGUAAGAAUUAGAAGACGUAAGUAUUCCUCCAACUAAUGAACCAGAUUUUUUGAAGAAAGAAAACAGUGGCCACUUCUUAGAGGCCUGAUUUGUCAUCAUAAUAGUAAAAUAUGUUUGCAAUAUUUACGUGACAUUUAUUUAUAAACUGAGGGACAAUAAAUAUCUUCUCCCGUUUCACAGUAGCACUUAUCUGUAUCGCCAUCACCACAGGCUACCAAUCAAGAAAGAAACAUUGCCAACAUAAGAGGAAGGAAGUUUGGGUAAAUAUAUGUAUAUUUCAAAAUACUGUUUUACAUGGAAGGGAUCAUUCACUGUGAGAAAAUUUUCAAAGGUGGUAUCAGAUGUGAAAUUCAAAACUGCCUCAAAGCUGAAGUCUCCAAAAAAAAAAGUAGUAGACAAAAGCAUCUUUGGCCCUACCCGUAUUCCUAGGAUUCUCUGGUUUGUCUUCUUUUUUUUUUUUUUAACUGUACAAGUUAUAUUUUGUUAUUUUUAAAGCUAUUUCAAUUAAAAUUAUUUUAGUUCAGCAUCGCAGUGAUACCUAUGUAUGAAAAAGAACCAAAGAAUUUAACCAGAUAACAACAGUGAUUGAUGUUUCUCUACUCAUUAAUGUGUGAUAAUACCGAUAUUUGAUAGGCUGAAAAUGAUCUCUGUGUUACGGAAAGGUUCGUUAAGCUAAUUAGUAACAACAAAUUUGCAAAUGGAAAUUUUUAGCCUUUUCAGAAAGCAAACUCUUUCAAACUUUUCUUAAUUAAACAGUAAAAUUGUAUAUAAAAACAGCAUUAAUAGAAUGAAUGACACUAGCUGCUGACAAUGAAAGCCCUAAAUCACAGUCUGGUUUUCAGAGUUACGAGACAAUGAAAAAUGCCUCUAGCUAGUCCUUCUUUUAAAGAUCACAGCCCAUACAGAAGAGCACUAGCUACUUACACAUCCUUGGGAAGUGAAAAUCUAACCCUAUCAUCAUCUGUUUCAAUAUUGCAACCAUAAAGCACCUUCCAAUAACUAUGUUAAGUGUAUUAAUUUUGUGCGUCUGUUUCAAGGUAAAAUUAGAACCACACCACUUUCAAUGCCCACGAGAGAAGAGCUUUAAUUCCAGCCCCAAUUACCUAGUCUACAAAUAUCUAUUAACACAAAGAAAAUAGUAUUGUUCUAGAAGUUCAUUCGCUGAUGGGUAUGCAGUCCUAUUUACAAUCACUAUUGAUGUCAGAAAGGUAGAACAUUUAUUUUUCCAUGUUCUAGCAUGUGAUUUACCCAAGGGGAAAAAAAUAUAGCAUGCUUGUACAAAAGUACAAUCAAGGUGAUACCAAUGGGAUUUAAUUUUUCUUCCUUAAAUAACCAGUAAAUGAAAAUUGCUUUCUAGUAUUUCAAAGGAGAAAGCGCUAAAAACUGUUAGCUAAAAGAGCUUUCUGCCUGACAGCAUUAAUUUCCUAUUCAUUUCAUUAAAGGGAGGGUUUUGAUAGGGCUUAUAAAUUACAGCAUGUUCCUAGCAGACUAAUAGCUUGAGGAAAAACAUGUAAUGGCUCUCCUUAAUCAAAAUAAGAGCAAGUUGUUGUUUAUUCAGCUGAGGAGCUUUGGAUCGAGGGUACUUAUUUUAUUAUAUCUAUGCCAAAUAAAAAGUAACCCAUAGAAACAUAGCCAAUGAAAUAAGUAUGGGAAGUUUAAGAAGAAAAAAAAAACUAUGAAUGUGGCUAUAAUAGAGUUUCUUGGGAAUUCAUCCAUUCAUUAACCAAUUCAUUUACUUAGAACUUAAUAUGGACUCACGAUUGUGUUAUAAGCACUAGGGUUAUUUUGGAGAGCAGAACACAUAUGGUCCUUGUCCUCAUGGAACUUACUGUUUGACAGGAAACUAAAUGGGUAGAAUAGAGGUUGUACUACUCUUAAAUUUUUUUGAAACCUGAGAACCUCUCUCUAACUAAGAAUUCUCUGUAGCGUGACAAGAAUGGAACCAAAAUAGAAAUUCAGUUUACUUUCUAUUAAAAAAGAAAGUGUGACAGCACUUCUGCGAACUAGGCAUUAAAGUAUUGGCUGCUCCAAAUAAGAAAAUAAACUUCCAAAGCUUAUAACAUUCCAUAUUGAGUUUCCAUGUCAACUGGCUCCACAGGCUACCUUUGGGGUGGUUCAUUUACUGUUGAGUCAGACGCUAGGGGUGUAUCAAGGCUUCAAGGGAUCAAGGAACUUGUUCUCUUGUGCCUUCUGUUCUCUGAAAUUCAAGUAUGCACUUAAUGGCCUAGGAUGUAUGUAGCCAGUUAUACUUUCGGAGAUGCAACCCCUUUUUGUCUUCUCAGUCUACGCAAUGAAUGACCAUGUUUUCACUCCUGCUUCUUCAUCCCCAGUAGCCACACCCUCGUAGGCGCACACAUCAACCAACUUCUAACUGGUUAUCGGUGUAAACCUAUCUUAGUGGCUUUGGCAAAUCUCUGUAAUUUGGGGGAGGGAACUUAUUGGAGUAUGUUAAGUCUCCUUGAAAGACAUAAAGGAGUUCAGGUUUCUUCAGAUUGACUGUGUGCAUCUCCCUUCUUCCCCCCACAACUUCACUUUUCUGGCCCAGAUCAAUGUCAGUAGUUAAAUGAAUCAGUCAUUUGAAAGCUGUCUGCUGACCUUUCCUUCAUGACUGAUUUCAUAAAAAGUGCACGAGAAUGAGGUUUCUAGGCAAGAGAACAGUCACACUGCCUACCCUGGCCACCACUCCCAGUAGAUCCCUAGGUUUCCAACAGAGGAAUAGGCUACUUCUGUAGAAGCAGGACCUGAGAGCCUCUCAAGCAACCAUAAUGAAGCUGAAAGCCACAGCUAGCCUUUCUCCAUAGCCUGCAGGAAUUAUUUAUAAAGAGAAGACAAAGGUUGAGUCACUUGUUGGCCUUCAAAACACUUCCUGAAGGGGACAAUGAAGAAGCCUCAGCUACAGUUGCCCAAAGGUAUCAGAAAGACUUUUUAUCCUCCACCUAUUAUAUCCAGAGUGCUCUUCCCACCUUGGAUCAGGAAUACCAGGUUUUGUUCUUUUCAAGUUGGAAAUAGCAUAAUGAAUAGAUCCAACUUAGAAUAAGAACUAUGUUUUAAAAUUCUAUGCUUUAAAAUAAUUUCUUUACUUGACUGCGUUUUACCAGGUCCUUCGUAAACUUUACUUUUUGUUAAUUUCUAUGAGGGAAAAGAAGAAUCAUUAUGAAAAUCUCCACCAAUAGAAAUGUUGUAAACUUGCUGGUUUGUGUGUGUGUGUGUGUGUGUGUGUGUGUGUGUGUGUUCUGUAAGCAUGUUGUUGUUUUAGGUGCCUUCUAGUUGGUUUCUACUCUCAGAGACCCCAUGGGUUUUCCAAGGCUAUAAAUCUCUACAGAAGCAGACUGCCACAUCUUUCUCCCACAGAGCCACUGGUAGUUUCUAACUGCUGAUCUUUAGGUUAACAGGCGAUCGCUUUAACCAUUGCGCCACUAGAUAGGACGGUGGAUUUUUUUGCAGCAGAAGAUAGCAAAGUAUCAGCAGCUGAAGUAGUUAUUUUGUGUCUUGUCCAACCUUAGACUCCUCUUGAAUUAAAUUUCAGAUGUUAUUUGAUAUAAAUCAACUCCAUAAUAAAACUAUUUAGAAGCAAAAUCUGAAUUUAGUUAUGAUACAUGAUCCCCAGAAAAGAUCACAUAUUCCAGUCAAAAAAUAUUUUAGAAAGAAUAAAGUGGUGUAGAAGAAGGGGUUUUCUACUGUCCUUUUCCGGCUUACAGAGAUUGUCUCAAAUCUUAGAAUAAAACAAAGAUGAAAAAAGAUCAGUGAAGAAUAAUACUGUAAUUACAUUAGCUAACAUUUGUGUAAGGAGCCCUGGUGGUGCAAAGGUUAAGCACUCAGCUGCUAACUUAAAGGUUGAGAGUUUGAAUCCACCCAGCGAUUCUCUGGGAGAAAGACCCAGCUCCUGUAAAGACUGCAGCCCAGGAAACCCUGUGAGGCAGUUCUACUCUGCCAUGUGGGGCUGCUGUGAGUUGAAAAUCGACUCCGCAGCAACCAACAACAUUUGUAUACACGCUUCCCUUUCCGGAGCAUGUUGCCAAAGGAAAGACUUAUUAGGAAGUCCUUUUGCAUUCUCCUUUUGUAUUCUCAGAUACAUAAUACACUCCAAAAUACACAUCAAAGCUUUUAUUUUCUCAUCAUGCUAAUGUACUUCUUGACCAGUCAAUCUGAGUGACUCACUAAUUUGAAAACAAAAGUUUUUUGCUUUUUUUUUUUAAGCCAUACUCCUGGUUAAAUCAUAAUUUCUAGGGCAGAAAAUAUCUUUUUUGAAAGCUGGGAAAAAGCUAAAUACAUAAGUGGUGCUCCAUAGGAUUUUCUUGGCUAUAAUCUUACAGAAGGAGAUUUCCAGGCCUUUCUUGCGUGGCACCACUGAAUAGAUUCAAACUGUCAGCCUUUCAGUUGGUAGUCAAGAGCAAAACCAUAAGCUUCAUUUGCCUGAUGGUUUUAGAGGAGAUGUUUUCCUCCUAUGUACUCCUUGCUAAUUAGUUGGGGAAAAUGUUUAAGUAUAGCUACCUUCAUCCUCCUUCACUUACUACUUUCUGAUAGGUCUUUUCUUUUGGCAAAAUAAUUAUUGCAAUAUAUUUCUGAUAUGAGGUUAGAAAAUAAAAGCACAAGGAUCAUUAUGAGUGUGUCGGGCAAAGUUCUGUGUGAAGCUGAAAAAGCAAUUCAAAAGGAAUAAUUUUCAAAAUAUUGUAACAUACCAAAAUGUUACAACGUUCAAAAUAUUAUAAUACGGAAAUAAUAAGCAAUGUUGUUUUCUGAGUUAUCUGUUGAGUUCUAGGGUUUGUGAUAGGUGUUUCAUAAAUUAAUAGUCUGCUGGUGCUUGAAAGGCCUGGAAGAAAUUAUUAUCCCAUUUUACAGAUAAGAAAACAGCAGUAAAGUGGUAGAGCGAUUAUCUAAAUCUAAACCCCCGUCUAUAAGAUUUGAAAGCUUCUGACCUUUCGAUUAUGCCAUGAUUAUGAUAUAUCUACUCAAUGAAUGAAAUAUUAUAUAGCUAUUUAAAAGCUUAUAAAAUUAUGUAGGCUUGUGUGAAAAUGUGUAUGAGAGAGUAAAUAAAAAUGUAGGUCACACCAAAAUGCAUAUAUUAGAAAAAGACUGAAGAGAAAUGUAGGAUGAAAAUAGUUCUUGGGGUUUUUUUGUUUGUUUGUUUUGCUGCACUUUUCAAGCUUUCAAUACCAUUAUAAUUACAUUGCUCAUAAAUACUAAGUUUUAAAUCAUAAAUGAGCCAAAUGGUUGAGUGGUAAAUGAGUAUGUGGAGACUGUUGAUGAUUAUUUGUGUCACUUGUCUGUCUUUGGUACCAGCGGUAUUACUCGUUAAAGUAAGUCUUAUGAUUUGUUUAUAUUCUUGGGAAACCAUUAAUGAUUUCCACAUGAGUAUGACCUAUAUCUUCUUUAUAUUCUCGUGACCCAGCCUGGUGAUUGACCCUUAGUGUUCACUCAACAAAUGCCAGGGCCACUCCUCAAGCCUAUCCAGUGAGUUCAGCUGCAUUCAGCCGGUCAACUUUUUUUCUUACUCAUUAUGUGAGUAAUUUUUCUUUUUUGCCCUUUUCAAUCCGGGGAACAUUUUCUACGAACCCUAGAUUGAGCCCAGAUAACUGACUCCUGCAGUUUUAAUAUCUCCUUAUUGAAUUUUGAUAUCAUAGUUUUGAUUUAGUCAUAAAAUCUACCAUAUAUUUGGCAUCUGUGGCAGAUUCAAUUUUUUUAAACUAAAAAAAAUGGCAUCGUAAUUGAAAUAGAAUAUUAACUGAGAACAGUAGUGGAGAUUUUCUAUCUAUCAUUGGCCUUCAGAUUGUUUAUUCAUAACAGGAUUGGCCUCUGGGUCUGAAUAUUGUUCAUCAGCCGGCCAUCUUUAACUGAGAAUUAACAAAUUAGUGAUUUAGAGAGCUUUCUGAAACAAGCAGGAAUAUGCAGCAAGCUUUUGUUCCAUUUGUUUAAUUCCUGACCCCAUCACCCAAUGCCUUAAAAACCUAGACAACUUUUGUCCCAUGGUGCAUAGUGGGAAAUGAAUACUUAAACACAAGUUGAAAAUUAAAAAGAGAGAUUUAUGUUUACUUUUUUACACUUUAGUAAUGCUACCCAUUUUUUCCAGAUUCAAAAAGUAAUGUUACGGUUUAAUAAGGUGAACCAGAUUUCCUUUCCAUCCAUGGACUUGACAAGGUGCGUUGUUGAAUAAAGACACUUAGAAAAUGCUAUUUUAAAAAAGUUUUUACACUAAAAUACAAGUUUGAAAUUCAGAGUUUCACAGUUUCUUCCUGACUCAUAUUUCUUGCUUUCUCUUCAACCAUGAGUUCUGUAGCCUAAUUGGAUUGUUGUGCUCAUGGUUUUACAAAGAUGUCUUGUGAAUUUUUCCUUCAAAGUUAGAUCCUUACCAUUGACCUAGAAUACCUUACGUCUUCUUUCCAUUCCACUAUGACCUCAAAUUCUAGCUUUGGUGACACCUAAUCCCUAAUAAGCCCAGCCCAUGGUAAUUUCACAUUUACUAGACCUUCUAUUGCAUUUAUUAUUGUUAUUCUCAUUUAGGAUUAAGUUCACAUUACCUUACAAUAAUGUCAGAUACCUUUUAAGCUGCCCUCAAAUAUCGUAUCUUCUUGAAAGCAAAAGUUGUCACAUAUUCUCUAAAACAUAUAUCCUAAUAGAUAAUGGGUGUUUAAUACAUAUUUUUUGGCUAUCCUCUAAAUGAGAAGAGUAGUCUGAACUGGUCAGAAUCAGAAUUAUAUAUUAAUUUAAAAGACAUGUAAUUAUUUAAUACUAAAUAAAUGCCUGUUGUUGUUGUUGUAUGCUGUCCAGUUGAUUCCAACCUAUAGUGACCCUAGACGACAGAGUAGAACUGCUGCAUAGGGUUUCCUAGGCUGUCAUCUCUACAGGAGCAGGUCGUCAGGCCUUUUCUCCGGAGGAACCUCUGGUGGGCUCCAACUGCCGGCCUUUGUUUAGCAGCCGAGCGCUUAACCCUUGUGCCCCAAGACCCACCCCAGGGAUCCUUAAAUAUCAACAAAUAGGAGGCCUUGGACAACUGCUUUAAUAAAUAGUUAAAAAUAAGGUAUCGAAAGCUUACAAAUCAUACCUAAUUUAGUUGAAAACAGCUUGUCCUGUUAAGUUAAACAUUGCGUUUGUAAGGGACUUUACCCUACUGAACUUGUUAGGAAGUGGAUUUAUCUUAGAACAGUAGUAAACUUCACCACGGGCCUCUUCGUUACUAACCUAAUCUCCACGAAAGAUGAAGUCUAGAUUUAUUGAUGAUUUGGGACAUGGAUGGAUGAUUACAUUUUACUUUUUCUCUCCACCCUGAAUAAAAUAUGCGUUUGAAUCUUUAAUAUGGUUCAAUGCGUUUAACGCACAAAGAAACAUAAAAACAAAACGUUUGACCUCUCCAGUAUAUAUUUUGAGAGUGGGUAUCAUGAAAACAAAGGGCAGAUAAUCAUGCAGGCUUCUAAUGUUCAAAGGUCGCUCAGUAACUAUGGAUGGUUUCUACUAAAGUUGAUUCUAUAUUAAUUUUAACAGGAAGCAGAAACAGCAUUUAUAUUAUACAAGAAAGUGCUGGAAAUUGUUAGUCUAAUUUUGUAAAAAUCAGUAAUAAAUGAUAGAAGCAGCAUGAUAGAAACAAACACACACAAAGAGUUAUGAACUGUCAUAAUCUGUUUUUCAGAGAGUGCAAGAAAAGAUCACAUUAUUAAAAAGAAAAAAAAAAAGUGGUGUAUAAUUCCUCUAAAAGGAACUAUAAAAAUCUGUUGCCAUCAAGUCCGUUCCGACUCAUGACAACCCCGUGUGUUUCAGAGUAGACCUGCUCCAUAAGAUUUUCUUGGCUAUCAUUUUACAGAAGCAGAUCUCCAGGCCUUUCUUUGCUGGCACCACUGAAUGGAGUCAAACUGUCAACCUUUCAGUUGGUAAUCAAGAGCAAACCAUUUGUGCUACCAGGGACCUUUUUAAAUAGAAUAGGAAAUAAAUCCCACUUUAUAGAAGAUGAUCACUGGUGGAGCAGUAGUUAAAGUGCACUGCUGCCAACUUAAAAGUCUGCAGUUGAAACCCACUAGCCCCUCCAAGGGAGAAAGAUGUGGUAGUCUGCUUCUGUAAAGAUUUACAGCCUUGGCAACCCUAUGGGGCAGUUCUACUCUGUGGGUCCCUGUGGGUCAGGCCCCUGUGGGUCAGAAUCGAUUUGAUGGCAAUGGGUUUGGUUUUUGGUUUGUUUAUAUCAGAUGUUUAUUUCUGUCAUCUGUCUUCCUCUUUCUUUUUUUCACACCUACACACUUCUGUUCACACACACAAAUGCAGACAAACUUUCCCAUAAAAUUGGACACAGUAAAUAGUAAUUAGAUAAAUAAUGUACUAAUUUCAAGUUUCAUUGUAUUUUAUUGUAAACAUACAUUUUGAUAUAAACCAAACUUUUUGGCUAAUCUUGAUGUUAGCUAAACAGUGUCAGCGAUAAUUACAUUAUAGAGUUUGGACACAUAUUGAUAUUCAAAUGGCAGUUUCUGUUUGAGCAGAAAAUAUCAAUAUAUGUCUUGGUAAUAUCUAAGUAAGAAAAAUGAACAGCAAAAUGUAAAAAAUAAAACAUUUUAUUUGCAAUGCAACACAUCAUGGAAGUAUGGCUUUAUCAUUUUCAGAAUGCUUUCAUAUAAAUUAGGAGCUCUGGUAGCACAGUGGUUAAAGAGCUCAGGAUGCUAACCAAAAGUUCUGUGGUUCAAACCCAACCAGCCACUCCAAGGGAGAAAGAUGUGGUAGUCUGCUUCCUUGAAGAUUUAAAGCCUUGGAAACCCUAUGGGGCAGUUUUAAUCCGUCCUGUAGGGUUACUCAGUGGCAGUGGGUUUGGUUUGGUUUUCAUAUAAAUGAUCUCAUUCAACCUCUAGAAUUAUUUUAUGUAUAAUUAUUGUCAUUCUACUCCUUCAGGUUAGUAAAGAGGCCCACUGGUGAGUGAGUGGAUGAGAGUUUGGAUUCACAUUCUUUCUGAUUGUCCGGUGGUCUCUCUAUAUCACAACUGUACAGUAAAUGAAAUGAAUUGUUCCAUAAAGUAGAACGAAUAUUUUACUGACUAGCCUUUUUACAGGUAGGCAAAGUUAUUCCACACUCAGGUCAUAGAAAAACAUUCAUUAAAACAAUAUAUAUUCAGACUCUUUGCCUAACUCUGAACGUUUCUUACCCCAAAUUUUACAUUUUUUUUUUCUUCCAGUGAGUGCAUAUGAACACUCCUUCCAAAUACUGUUCCUUUGCCGUCUGUAAAAUGGCAGUGCAGAGCUGUACUGUUGAGCUUUGCUGUUUAAGCAUGUCAAUUAUUUCGUCAGUCACCAAUUAAAUAAUUUACUAUGUUCAUAUUUCCUUCUUUGUUUCAUGCAAAUUCCUAAGAAUAUGUCUGUCUUUUGGGACAGUCAUUGAAAAAUGUUUUGUUUGCAAAUAUUAGAAUUUUAGAAGGGAGGCAAUUUUUUAUUUUCUUCCUACUUACUUUUGCGCUGCCAUCUGCCCAUUCAUUUGUUUAUUCAACAGGUAUGUAUUAAAUUCUCACUCUGUGCUAUGUCCUAGGCAUUGGGGAGUUAGGUGAACUCAGCUCCUGACAUAAAGAUCUUUUCGUCUAGUGCGAAACAUAUAUAAAGAUUGUAGAAAUAAAUUAUAUUCUAUACUUAAUCUAGCACAGUGAAAUGAAAAUCAAGUAUAUAAUUAUUCAAUCCAAAGCAUUUUAUAUCUGUAAUAUAUUUUACCUUUCAAAUAUAUAUUUAUAAAUAUAUAUUAAUUUAUCCUUUAGCAUGCAUUAAAAACUUCAAAGACUUAAUGGACUGCCUCUUAGAUGCUUUCUUGAUCAAUAUGACUAAAUGGAUGAAUGCAUUCAGAAACAAAAUUUUCCCCUUAGCAGGAAGAUUAUCGAGAGUUAACUCCUGAAUAAUAACUUUCUUUUCCAAUUAUAUUUGUGGCUAUGCUGACAUUUCAGUAGGGUUUUAUUGAAGCUGUAAGGCCACUCACUAAAUGCAGAUAAUGAAUCUAAGAUGCAUGUUAAUUAUGCCAUGUUUCAUACAUACAGAUAUGCAGAAUCUGAGUCAGAGUCAAGAUGUUAAUUAUUUUAUAUUGAUUAGAAAAAGUUAAUAUAGAGGCUCCUUUUAUAUAUUAAUUAAAAGUUCACAUUGGGAUCAACAGAUCAGAGAAGCAAUAAAGUGUGGUUGAAUGCUUAUUUUACUGUGGACUUUGGGAGGUUUAUUGGCAGAACUACCUUGAAAAGCUUACAAUUUUUAGAGUUGGUACAUUUUUAACUUUUUUUCCCUUCAGUUACUUCUGUAACUUUUGGAACAAGCUAAAUUUAAAUUUGACCAACACAACUACUCCCAUCUUCUUGAAAUGCUUCUCUUGACUGCUAUGUAAUCACUUUCUCCUGGUUCCCUUCUACCUCCCCACCCUUGGAGCCCUGGUGGUCCAGUGGUUAAGCACUUGGCUGCUAAUCAAAAUGUUGGCAGUUCGAAUCUAUCAGCUGCUCCUUGGAAACCCUAUGAGACAGUUCUAUCCUGUCCUAUAGGGUUGCUAUGAGUCAGAAUCAACUUGAGGGCAGUGGAUUUUUUUCCUUUACCUCUCAGGCCUACCCUGUCCAGUCUCCUCCUUCGGCUCUUCGUCUUUCUUUGAAACUCCAAGGCUCCAUCAGAUCUCACCUAGAGUUUGGCAGUCUUUUCCUACUGUUCCUUCUUCUUCAUCUUGCCACCUCUAAAAAACGUUCUAUACAAAGCAGCCAGAAUGGGCCCUUAAAAUCUGUACCAAGUCAGUGACUUUCUUCAAGAUCUUCUAAUACUUCCACCCUACACUCAGAAUAAAAGUCACUGCUUACUGUGGCCUUACAAGCCCUUACCCGAUCUGGCCUCUUGUCACCUCUCCAAUCAGCUCCUAUGGCUGCCAUGCUCACCAUCUCCACUGGCCUUCACUCUGUUUCUUAAACACGCCAGUAUCAUUUCCCCUUACUGCCUUUGAUUUCUCUGGUUACAGUGACCUUGCCCUAGAAAUUGAAUGACUUGUCCUUUAUUAGAGUCAUCUCAACUACAUCCAUCACCCUAUCUUAAUGUUUUAGUUCAUAGAAAGUAUUAUUUCCUAUUUAUUUAGACUUUUUUCUGAAUCCUCUCAUGUUUAUUUAUGCCAUCUUUAUAGCCUCUUUCGUUUGUGCAUGACACCAUGCUGGGUUUUUAACAUAGCAGAGAAUGAGUAUCUGGCAAGUUGCAUAGUUUAGUGAAAUUCUCAUCUUUCUCACUGGCUUUUCUUUGCUGAAGAUACCUCUGAGAGCUGGAGAGCGGGCAUGUCCGUGUGAGAGUGAGCUGCUACUUUAUCUAACGUUAUCUUUAUCCAAAGUUAUCUAAAUAUUUGAAACAUUCUGUGCUAACAGCUCUGCCUCCUCCUGAGACUGAGAGUGGAAUUAUUUCCAGAUGGUCCUAAAGUUUCAGCAUAUUGCUACAGUUAACAAAAAGCUUUUGUAAAUGUUAUAUUAACCACUAAGGGGCAUGUGCUACCGUUAAUUCGUGUUGUGAGUUCCUGUUGCUAAGGGUAGAAUUUGUCUGUGUGUGCAUUUUUCACCUUACCUCGUAUAUAAUAUUUACAGUAUUGGCUCUUAUGAUUCGCAAAUCCCAAAGAACUCACAUUAAAGUACUUACAAACAUGUUACAUGUGUCUUUUACCAAAGAGCUAAGCUUCAAAAGCUAUGAAGGUAUUGUAUUUGUUUUACCUUAAAGAAAAAAAAAAAUUUUUUUUUUUUUUAAAUUAAAUCUGCUAAAAAAAAACCAGAAAGAGCUGAAUUGUUGUUGUUGGGGAGUGUAUUAAGUAUAAAGUGUAAUUUAUCUAUUGUUGCUGUGGGUUUUUUUGCCUUUGCAUAAUGUAAAUUUUUACCCUUUGCAUAAUGUAAAUUGGGAAACCCUGAUGGCGUAGUGGUUAAGUGCCAAACGGCUGCUAACCAAUGGGUCGGCAGUCCAAAUCCGCCAGGCGCGCCUUGGAAACUCUAUGGGGCAGUUCUACUCUGUCCUAUAGGGUCCCUAUGAGUCGGAAUCGACUGCACUGAGUACUGGGUUAUAAUGUAAAUUAAUGCAAAUUUUUAGAGCAUUCUAUUACUGUUUAAUUCUUAUAAUGAAUAAUAAUAGUGGUAGUACAUGGCAUCAAACAGUCCUUUAUAUUCACAGAAACUGUAUUAAAGAAAUAAGUUUAGCAUCAGUAUUCCUAUUAUUCACUUCAUGGAUAUUUCCAGAACAUUUCCAAGAUAGGGAAUGCUUAAAGAAUCAUUUGGGUUUGCAACAGUUUGAUUGAAGGAAGUUAAAUAUUGCCUUAUUGAUUGGACUAGUGUGUUAACCAAAGAAAUGACACAGGCUAGAACCUUUAUUAAUUUUAAUGAAAAACACCUGAAAAAUUUUUAAAGACAAUGAGAUGAGAUAUACUGAAAUUGUCUUCAGACUAUUCUUUUUUUCAACCUACUUUUAAACAGUUGACUUAAAUGAAGAAGAUAAGCCUAAAAUUAUAAUGCCAUAGACCAGGAGGAAAGAGUUAACCAAUAAUAAAUUCAAGGCCAUAAAGUAUACUUCCUAUUUCUUCACAAGAACCUAAGGCUAUAGUUUCUCUUGCUGCUUGCCAACUUAUAUAUGGUUACCAGGGAAACUUCCUAUACUAAAUUAUGCUGUGUGGAACUUACAUGUAUUCUGUUAAUUUAGAUCCCAAAUUUAGAUUCCAUUUAAAAUAACUAGGAUGUGGUAGGAGGGAAUUCUCUAAUAUAUCACUUAACAUUUGUAGUUUCUUGCUUGAAAUUAAAAACUUUUGGUGGCACGUAAGUGUUUAUAAUGGUGUAAAUCAAUAUGUAGCCUGUUUAACCAGCAUAUAAAUCUAACCAUUUGGUUUCUUUUUCUAAGUGGAAUAAAUUAGGCAAAAAGCAAUGUUUUACUCUGAGUGAUUUUAUUUAUGAAUAUUAUAAAGUAUACCACAGAGUUUGGUGUUUAUAUAGCAUUUCCCUUUUGUAUCUCCUGUGGCAAAAUAUGUGUUAGAGAUUUAUGAGCAUAUUUUCAAAUGGGAAUAAAUAUUUAUAGAGUCUUAGAGAAUAUGCUACCUCAGUCCUUCAAUAAAACCUUGCAUUCAGGUAUUAGAGAUGACUAUUCAUUCACUCCUUUGUUUAUUCAGCAAGCAUAUACCUACUGUUCUCUACUAGGUACGAGGCAAUGUGCUAAAUACCUAGGAUCCCAAAGCAAAUUUUUUACUUAUUCUCAAGGAGCUUAGAGGGAGAACCCAUUGCCAUAGAGUUGAUUCUGACUCACAGCGACCCUAUAGGACAGAGUAGAACUGCCCCAUAGGGUUUCGGCUGUAAUCUUUAUGGAAGCUGACUACUACAUCUUCCAUGGGAUGGCCGGUGAAUUCAAAUCGUCAACAUUGUGGUUAGCAGCUGAGGUGCUUAGCCACUGUGCCACUAAUAAUUACCUUAGUGAAUGGAUAUAUUAUUUAGAGAGAGUUAGCCUAUCAGCUUUGCAGAGUGCUUUACAAAACCUGAUACUUACAAAUGGUAAUCAAUCAAUCAUUAUAGUCCUUUUUGGUAAAUUCUAUAAAAGAGGAAUGCUCUGUGUGCCAGGAUAAUGGUAGAGGAACAUGCAUAUCAUAUGGUGGGAUCUAGGAUGGCUUUCUGAAA